UACAUGGGGUGCAAACGUUGCUCGGAAUUAUUGGGCGUAAAGCGCACGUAGGUGGUUUGUUAUGUCGGAUGUGAAAGCCCUCGGCUCAACUGAGGAAGUGCAUCCGAAACUGGCAAGCUAGAGUAUGUAAGAGGGUCGCGGAAUUCCCGGUGUAGAGGUGAAAUUCGUAGAUAUCGGGAGGAACACCGGUGGCGAUGGCGGCGACCUGGGACAAUACUGACACUGAGGUGCGAAAGCGUGGGGAGCAAACGGG
rnacentral:rRNA from 1 species